GGCUCGGUGGCGCAUGGCUGCGCAUCUAUUGCUAUUGGCCGGGACAAAAUGUGGGAAGAUAUACAUAGAGAUCCCUGUUCGAAUCGGGGCUGAGCCG